UCCCUGAUAGCUCAGGGAGAAUCUGCCUACAAUGCAGGAGACCCAGGUUCGAUUCCUGGGUUGGGAA
rnacentral:tRNA from 1 species